UGGAAGUAAAGUCGUAACAAGGUUUCCGUAGGUGAACCUGCGGAAGGAUCAUUAAAAAAUGUGGUACCAUUGUUGGUACUAAUUAAUCAUCCUACCCUUUGUGAAUUUGUUUGUAACGAAUUUUUUUAAAUGGGUCUUUCCCUAAGUUGGAUUGUAGUAAAAUACAAAAAGACUUAGGGGAAUGACUUUUUUUAAAAAGACUUUUUUUUAAAUUAAAACUUUUUGUAUUCAUUUGUCUAAAAUUUAUUUUUAUAAUAUAAAAACAACUUUUGACAAUGGAUCUCUUGGUUCUCGCAACGAUGAGAACGCAGCAAAAUGCGAUAAGUAGUGUGAAUUGCAGAAUACGUGAAUCAUCGAAUCUUCGAACGCAUAUUGCACUUUUUUAGUUUACUAAAAGAGUAUGUCUGUUUGAGUAUCAGUAAAAUAUUCUCACAAACAUAUAUUGUUUGUGGUAUGAGUGUUUUACAACGAUAAACAAGUUGUUUCACUUUAAAUUCUUUAAUUGAAUUUUCUACCAAUUUACAAAUUUAAAAUUGGAUAAAAUUUUCCUUUAACGAGGAAUAACCUAAACAAUUUUAAAUUUUAUGGUUUUAAUAAACACUCAUCAAAGGAAUCUAUAUACAUAAAUAACUUGAUCUCAAAUCAGAUAAGAGUACCCGCUGAACUUAAGCAUAUCAAUAAGCGGAGGAAAAGAAACUAACAAGGAUUCCCUUAGUAACGGCGAGUGAAGCGGGAAGAGCUCAAAUUUGAAAUCUUCAAGGUUUGACCUUGACGAAUUGUAGUUUAUAGAAGUGUUUUCUGUUGGAGUUUUGGUAAAAGUUCUUUGGAAUAGGACAUCAUAGAGGGUGAGAAUCCCGUAUUUGACCAUGACUUUCCAGCUGUGUGAUACACUUUCAAAGAGUCGGAUUGUUUGGGAAUGCAGUCCAAAAUGGGUGGUAAAUUUCAUCUAAAGCUAAUAUUGGCGAGAGACCGAUAGCGAACAAGUACCGUGAGGGAAAGAUGAAAAGAACUUUGAAAAAGAGAGUUAAACAGUACGUGAAAUUGUCAAAAGGGAAGCGUUUGACACCAGUGUUGUUUUCUCGAAAAUCAAUUUAAUGAGUUCUUGUUUUUAAGUUAUUGUGACUUUAUCAGCGCAUUUCUUAUCUUACUUGACUCAUUGAAUGCACUUUUCGUUUAACAAGUCAACAUCAAUUUCUUUGGUGGUAAAAAGUUUAAAGGAAGGUGGCUUGGACUUCGGUUCAAGUGUUUAUAGCCUUUUUUCUAUGCCAUCGGUGAGAUUGGGUCUGCAGCGUAGAUCCUUCGGGGUUAGAUACCUUUGUGCUAAGUUAUAGUUUUUAUAGACAACUUGUUGACUAUAAUUAACCCUGUAAUUUACUCGCUUAGGCUAUUUUACCUACGCUUAGGAUGUUGAGU
rnacentral:misc_RNA from 1 species